CCAAACCCAUCUCUCACUCCUCUCUUCAAACCCUAACCCUACAUCCUUUGAACGGCGGCGACUACUACGAGCAGCAGUGAAAGGCGAGCAGCAGCGGCGGUGAGCGACUGAGGUAUUGAUAUUGGUUUUGAAGUCGAAGCAGGUGGGAUUUUUCAAAGAUCUGAUUCUGUGAAGUCUAAAAUUUGUCUUUCUCAUGAACACGGGCACACGGUUGAUUUGAUUCAUUUGGCGUCGCAUUUUCAAAGAGUGGAGCAGCAGAGGUAUUCUAUGCAAGUGAAACAGGAAAAUGGUAUGUAAAGCGGGAAUGAUUUGGGACACUAUUUUCACGAGGGCAAUGCAUGAUCUCAAGGCUGUUGAGAUAGUGCUAUUUUGGAAAUGGUAGGCUACAGAGGUUGAGCCUGAUGAGGUGAGGUAAAAUGUUUUAGAAAUUGAACAAAUUUGAUGUCAUGUUAUAAAGUUUUGAUGCUUAGUUAGGAGAUAUCUUUCCCUUGAAGGGUUUUUUGAGGCACUAAUCUCCAACAAAGGAGGCUUUUUUGGCAUGAUCCGUGGCACAUGGCAAAAGCUUAAGAAUGGAUUAUUUGAUAAGAAUAGGAAAUAUAUUUCCCCAACUUCUGUUGUAUGAUCAAAGAGGCAUGGAGUCUGUGGACUAUCUUCUCAUCCGCUGUAGGGUGGCUAGGAUGGAUAUUGGGGUAUGUAUCUCAUUGGUGUCCAAUUGAGCAGCUAUCUGUUUUUUGGUAACUCUGAUCUAAGCAAGUGUUGAGAUCCAAUAAAUGAGCAAUUAGAGUCUGGAUUCUAUCUCUUUUGUUUUGGUUAUUAACAAUGCUUCUAGAUAGGCAUGUGGAAAGAGUUUCACGCAGAAUGGUCUUAGCAAUCCUAAUGUUGUCUGAUUACAUCCCAGGACAUAAGAUUGCUGCACUGGAACAAGCAUUCAACCGAAAUCUACUGGGAUCAUUUCUUCUGAUUCAAUUCCAAGCUUGUGUUGGCAUCUCCAGAAUUGCUACAGAUGCAGAUUAUGCUGCAAUUUUAUGAAUUAUUGGCCACGAGGUUUGUCAUUUAUAUCAUAAGAAGCAAGAAACUUAGAACUCCAGAAACACGCUGAUGAGGUUGCUGCCAAAGUUAUAGCAAGAGCUAAAGCACAAGGGCAGAUGAUUGAUUCACAUCACAGCUCUGUCAGUAAUUUCUGGGGAGAGAUGCAAAAUAUGGUCAAAGAAUUCAAGAAUUUAGUUUUUUUUU